rfam:Brachypodium distachyon strain Bd21 chromosome 2, whole genome shotgun sequence.
AAGGUAACUCCCUCCGUUCCAUAAUUCUUGUCUCAAAUUUGCCCAAAUAUGGAUGUAUCUAUUCCUAAAAAGUGUCUAGAUACAUGUAAUAUUUCGACAAGACAAGAAUUAUGGAACGGAGGCAGUAAAAG